AUCCCAGCACUUUGGGAGGCAGAGGUGGGAGGAUCCCUUGAGCCCAGGAGUUCAAGACCAGCCUGGGCAACAGAGUGAGACCCUAUCUCUACAAAAAAAUUUAAGAAUUAAAAUAUAUGUAUAUAUUUUUGAAGAACCACAAGUAUACAUGAGUGUGCACAUCUGUAUGAAACAAGUUUCACGAAACAGAUGAACUUGCACCAUAUGUACCUGUACCAUGGUAUAAAUACCAUGUGGAUGUUCUCUGGCGCUUUCUGUUCUAUUUCAUGUUUCAAAAUACUGGCUGCAACCCACAAAUUGAAAUUCAUAAUUACUAAUAGGUCACAACCCAUUGUAGGAAAACACUGCAUUAUUUCAUUAACUGCUCACUAUCACCGGGUGAAAUGAGUCUUCAACUACUAGGAAAGGCCCAAGGAGGUGAAGUCAGCACAGCCAGUAACAUGCACACGUGGGCUGUGACCCCAGAGUCUAUGUUUCUAAUUACUGUGCAGUGCCAGUGAGCGAGCAGGGAGCAAGGCAAAGAGGCCAGAAGAUGAGAGCUCGGGGCAGGGGCGAAAGGGCUCACCUGUUGUGUGAUGUGCCACUGCCUUUGCCAACAUGGUCUUCCCGCAGCCAGGUGGGCCAUACAUGAGGACGCCUCGGGGGGGAUCGAUGCCGAUCUGAAACCCACAGGAAGGAAGAGAAGUGGGAGUCAGGGGUUCCACCUCCAACCCCAGACCCAAUGGGGCCUCUCCGUUCCCUGCCACCUGCUGCCCUCCCUGUCUUCCCACAAA
rnacentral:lncRNA from 1 species